rnacentral:rRNA from 1 species
AACGAACGCUGGCGGCGCGCCUAAUACAUGCAAGUCGAGCGAGAAGACGUAGCAAUACGUUUGUAAAGCGGCGAACGGGUGAGGAAUACAUGGGUAACCUACCCUCGAGUGGGGAAUAACUAGCCGAAAGGUUAGCUAAUACCGCGUACGCUCCUUGGACUUCGGUUCAGGGAGGAAAGCGAUACCGUGGGUAUCGCGCUCUUGGAUGGGCUCAUGUCCUAUCAGCUUGUUGGUGAGGAACGGCUCACCAAGGCUUCGACGGGUAGCUGGUCUGAGAGGACGAUCAGCCACACUGGCACUGCGACACGGGCCAGACUCCUACGGGAGCAGCAGU